AAUGAAUGAGUGAAUCAAUGAUGCCUUGUGU
rnacentral:piRNA from 1 species